rnacentral:tRNA from 1 species
GGGUCGUUAGCUCAGUCGGUAGAGCAGCGGACUUUUAAUCCGUUGGUCGCAGGUUCAAGUCCUGCACGGCCCA